rnacentral:rRNA from 1 species
UGAGGAAUAUUGGACAAUGGGCGCAAGCCUGAUCCAGCCAUGCCGCGUGCAGGAUGACGGUCCUAUGGAUUGUAAACUGCUUUUGCACAGGAAGAAACAACGCUACGUGUAGCGUCUUGACGGUACUGUGAGAAUAAGGAUCGGCUAACUCCGUG